UAGGGAAUCUUCCGCAAUGGACGAAAGUCUGACGGAGCAACGCCGCGUGAGUGAAGAAGGAUUUCGGUUCGUAAAACUCUGUUGUUAGGGAAGAAAAAAUGUAUAGUAACUAUAUACAAAAGAGACGGUACCUAACCAGAAAGCCACGGCUAACUACGUGCCAGCAGCCGCGGUACUACGUAGGUGGCAAGCGUUGUCCGGACUUAUUGGGCGGAAAGCGCGCGCAGGUGGUUUAGAAAGUCUGAUGUGAAAGCCCACGGCUCAACCGUGGAGGGUCAUUGGAAACUAAUAAACUUGAGUGCAGGAGAGAAAAGUGGAAUUCCUAGUGUAGCGGUGAAAUGCGUAGAGAUUAGGAGGAACGCCGGUGGCGAAAGCGGCUUUUUGGCCUGCAACUGACACUGAGGCGCGAAAGCGUGGGGAGCAAACAGG
rnacentral:rRNA from 1 species